GGUUAAAUAGUUUAAUUUAAAACAUUAAUUUUGUAAAUUAAUAAUAAUUUAAAAAUUUUUAACUA
rnacentral:tRNA from 1 species